GAUGAAGAACGCAGUGAAAUGCGAUAAGUAAUGUGAAUUGCAGAAUUCAGUGAAUCAUCGAAUCUUUGAACGCACCUUGCGCCCUUUGGCCAUUCCGAAGGGCAUGCCUGUUUGAGUAUCAUGAACACCUCAACUCUUCAUGGUUUUCCAUGAUGAGCUUGGACUUUGGGGGUCUUGCUGGCCUGUGGGUCGGCUCCUCUCAAAUGAAUCAGCUUGCCGGUUUUUGGUGGGCAUCACAGGUGUGAUAACUAUCUACGCUUGUGGUUUUCCACCAGGGUAACCUUCAGCAGUGGAGGUUCACUGGAGCUUACAAAUGUCUCUCCUCUGUGAGGACAGCCCUUUGAAUGUUUGAUCUCAAAUCAGGUAGGACUACCCGCUGAACUUAAGCAUAUCAAUAAGCGGAGA
rnacentral:misc_RNA from 1 species